rnacentral:rRNA from 1 species
GAUGAACGCUGGCGGCGUGCCUAAUACAUGCCAGUCGAGCGAACGGACGAGAAGCUUGCUUCUCUGAUGUUAGCGGCGGACGGGUGAGUAACACGUGGAUAACCUACCUAUAGGACUGGGAUAACUUCGGGAAACCGGAGCUAAUACCGGAUAAUAUUUUGAACCGCAUGGUUCAAAAGUGAAAGACGGUCUUGCUGUCACUUAUAGAUGGAUCCGCGCUGCAUUAGCUAGUUGGUAAGGUAACGGCUUACCAAGGCAACGAUGCAUAGCCGACCUGAGAGGGUGAUCGGCCACACUGGAACUGAGACACGGUCCAGACUCCUACGGGAGGCAGCAGUAGGGAAUCUUCCGCAAUGGGCGAAAGCCUGACGGAGCAACGCCGCGUGAGUGAUGAAGGUCUUCGGAUCGUAAAACUCUGUUAUUAGGGAAGAACAUAUGUGUAAGUAACUGUGCACAUCUUGACGGUACCUAAUCAGAAAGCCACGGCUAACUACGUG